UAAUUUUGUGAAAUUUUCCAUCUCUCUCUCAAACAACUCCCACUCCUUUCUCUUUCAACCUUCACCAUUUUCUCAUCUCUCCCGACCCACCACUAGAAAACCUAGACCUAAACAAGAAGCCAAUGCUUUGGCUACGUUGUUGCAGAAAAUCGAGAGAGGAUUCUUGUUGCUUAGCUUCAACAAUGUUUAAUGGCUUUUUGGUAAACCUAAACAAGAAGCCAAUGCUUUGGCUACGUUGGAAAAGUUAAGCGAGGUGGAGGCCAUUAUUGUUCCACGAAAUCCGAUGAUAUCUGUGGCGAAAUUUGUGAUCAGGUAAAAAAGGGUAUGAAGUUAUGGUCCAAGGUGGAGUCAUUGAAGACUUGGCAAGGCAUCUGAUUAAACAAUAUGGGAUUCCAAAAAAGUACAGAAAUACUUGAUAAAACAAGGAAAUGAGAGGCUAGAGCUGGUUAGUCUUUUAUGCUUACUGCUAAUUUUGAUGCAUGUAGUUAUAUUAAAGAAGAGUUGGUAUUACCUUUUUGUGUCUAGUAAUAUUAAAUGAGCAGCCACCUUGAUAAAACAUCGACUGCCUCCCCUGUUGUUUGCAGCCAUUUGGCUGAUAUCCACUGUCUUCUCCAUUAGAAGUGACCUUGAUAAUUUUUUUUUGGUGAUUUACAGAACUGCAUAGCUUCUAAUGGUAGCCGUCCCCUUUCUAUAUUUAAUUAUGCACUAUUGGUUAAGUAUAAUCCAAAAAUGAUGACAGUAUCUAAACAUAAUGAUAGAAACUAAAAAAGCUUCUGGAGAGCUUUUUGUGCAGAAGUUUUCGUGCAAGUCUCCAGUUUAUCAUAAUUGCAGGAUUUGUGCAAAUGAUGGACGCUUGCUUUACUACUGUGAUUGGUGAAAACUCGAACGGUUUGUUAGCAUCUCUAGUUUCAUUGAAUUUAAAUUGUAACUGUUAAUGCAUGUUUGACACCAAGCAAUUAUCUUUAGGUACUUACGCCGAGAGUUGGCAAAGCUUGUUGCUGAUGAUCCUCCUGCCAUAAAGCUUCUUUUUUAACCUAAAUUAUCUAUUGAACCUUUUCAGUGAUGUUUACUUUUUAUACUUUUUAACCGUAAUUUUCGAUAUGCUAAGAAAUGCAUGUUUUUUUUAGGAAAAACCUCCAGAUUGGUAGGAUUUUGUUGGUAUGACGAGAUUCAAUUGCAAAAUUAUUUUAGUUUAGUUGCACGAUUAUUUUAGUUUUGUU